AUUGAACGCUGGCGGCAUGGCUAAAACAUGCAGGUCGAGCGCGAAAGAGGAGCAAUCCUCAAGUAGAGCGGCGAAAGGGUGAGUAAUACGUUCCUACGUGCCUUGAGGUCGGGGAUAGCCAGGGGAAACUCUGGGUAGUACCCGAUGUGGUCGCAAGAUCAAAGGCUUGCCGCCUUAAGAGCGGGGAACGUCCUAUCAGGUAGUUGGUGAGGUAACGGCUCACCAAGCCAAUGACGGGUAGCGGGUGUGAGAGCAUGGCCCGCCACAUCGAAACUGAGACACUGUUCGGACUCCUACGGGAGGCUGCAGUAACGAAUCUUCCGCAAUGCGCGAAAGCGUGACGGAGCAAUGCCGCGUGCAGGAUGAAGCCCUUCGGGGUGUAAACUGCUGUCAGGGUUUAGAAAGCACGUGAUCAAACCCAAAGGAAGAGACGACUAAACUCUGUGCCAGCAGUCGCGGUAAUACAGAGGUCUCGAGCGUUAGUCGGAGUCUACG
rnacentral:rRNA from 1 species